AUGUUUUGUUAUUGUACAUGAGUCAUGUGGGGGAAGGGGUUUGUCCCGACCCUAGUUAUGUCAUGUAUAUCCUAGAGGCUUUGUAGACAUAAGGAAGGGUAAAGUCAUGGAAGUUUAUAUAGUGAUGUUAUAUCUGUAUAUGUGGUGGCCCCGACGGCCAAGUAUUAUAUAUAUAUAUAUAUAUAUAUUUGCGCGUGUUGUGCUGAUACAGGUAAUUAGACCUUUCUAUAUGCAACGAAGUGCUGUCCAA
rnacentral:lncRNA from 1 species